rnacentral:tRNA from 1 species
ACCGAGAUGGCUGAGACCAAGCAGAAGAUUGUAGCUCUUCCAACGGAACUAAUACUCCUCUCGUUA